rnacentral:pre_miRNA from 1 species
UUAACUCAAAUUUGUAAGCAGUCGAAACAGCGCCCCUAGCGGCAAACGUAGGCAAACGUCCCAACUCCAUACAAAUUUCAGUUA